rnacentral:ncRNA from 1 species
CCCGCUGAAUUUAAGCAUAUUAUUAAGCGGAGGAAAAGAAACUAACCAGGAUGCGAGUCGUACGGCGAGACAUCGC